GUCAGAACAUUGUUUAAAAAGAUAAAGAUCAUCCCAAAUGAAGUAUUUCACUUGAGCGAAGAAUUUAUACUUGUCCUGAGUGGUCCAGUGAAAAGGAAUUUUAUCAAUAGCUAAAUAAUUGACAAUAUCAGCAUACCAAGAUUUAGUAGACACAGACAUGAGUUGUUCAUCAGGAAAAAACUCAUUGACGGGUGGUUCACUAGAUGGGGUGACUAUGAUUCGGGAUAAGUGAUCAACUACGUACUGCAUUCUCUGUUUCUUUCUUGUCCUUGAUUUCUAGAUCAAAUUUCUAAAAGAGCAAGAUCCAUCAUAUCAAGCACACCUUGGCAUCUUUCUUUGCUAGGAGAUGUCUAAUGAAUGAGUGGUCAGUAUACACAAUGGUAGGGGAUCCAACCAAAUAGGAUCUGAAUUUUUUUAGGACAAAAACAACGGCUAAUUUUUUUUUCUAUAGUAGUGUAAUUAAGCUGCGCAUCAUUUAAGAUUUUACUGGCAUAGUGAAUAACUCUAGGUAGCUUAUCAAUUCUUUGACCUAAGACAGCACCCACAGC
rnacentral:lncRNA from 1 species